GCAAACGGGUGAGUAACGCGUAGACGACCUGCCGCAUAGAUGGGGACAACUAUCCGAAAGGACUGCUAAUACCGAAUGUUGUCAGAUUCCCGCAGGGGAGACUGAUUAAAGAUGGCCUCUACUUGUAAGCUAUCGCUCUGCGAUGGGUCUGCGUCUGAUUAGCUAGUUGGUGGGGUAACGGCCUACCACGGCGACGAUCAGUAGCCGGUCUGAGAGGAUGAACGGCCACAUUGGAACUGAGACACGGUCCAGACUCCUACGGGAGGCAGCAUUGGGGAAUCUUCCACAAUGGGCGAAAGCCUGACGGAGCAACGCCGCGUGAGUGAAGAAGGGUUUCGGCUCGUAAAGCUCUGUUGACGGGGACAAAGGUGCAAGAUGCGAAUAGUUUCUUGCAAUGACGGUACCCGUCGAGGAAGCCACGGCUAACUACGUGCCAGCAACCGCGGUAAUACGUAGGUAGCGAGCGUUGUCCGGAAUUAUUGGGCGUAAAGGGAGCGCAGGCGGGAAGGCAAGUCAGUCUUAAAAGUGCGGGGCUCAACCCCGUGAUGGGAUUGAAACUGUCUUUCUAGAGUGCAGGAGAGGAAAGCGGAAUUCCUAGUGUAGCGGUGAAAUGCGUAGAUCUUAGGAGGAACACCAGUGGCGAAUGCCGCUUUCUGGACUGUAACUGACGCUGAGGCUCGAACGCGUGGGGAGCGAACACGAUUAGAUACCCUGGUAGUCCACGCCGUAAACGAU
rnacentral:rRNA from 1 species